GAUGAACGCUGGCGGCGUGCCUAAUACAUGCAAGUCGAGCGAACAGACGAGGAGCUUGCUCCUCUGACGUUAGCGGCGGACGGGUGAGUAACACGUGGAUAACCUACCUAUAAGACUGGGAUAACUUCGGGAAACCGGAGCUAAUACCGGAUAAUAUAUUGAACCGCAUGGUUCAAUAGUGAAAGACGGUUUUGCUGUCACUUAAAGAUGGAUCCGCGCCGCAUUAGCUAGUUGGUAAGGUAACGGCUUACCAAGGCAACGAUGCGUAGCCGACCUGAGAGGGUGAUCGGCCAAACUGGAACUGAGACACGGUCCAGACUCCUACGGGAGGCAGCAGUAGGGAAUCUUCCGCAAUGGGCGAAAGCCUGACGGAGCAACGCCGCGUGAGUGAUGAAGGUCUUCGGAUCGUAAAACUCUGUUAUUAGGGAAGAACAAAUGUGUAAGUAACUAUGCACGUCUUGACGGUACCUAAUCAGAAAGCUACGGCUAACUACGUG
rnacentral:rRNA from 1 species